rnacentral:tRNA from 1 species
GGCGAGUUGGCGGAGCGGUUACGCAGCGGAUUGCAAAUCCGUGUAGGCCGGUUCGACUCCGGCACUCGCCUCCA